GCAUUAGGAAGCUGAAAUGAGGUGUAAAAAGUGUUUCCGGAGAGCAGUGGUGCAUCACAAUCACGCCUGGGAGUUAAAACAGAUUCUUUGCCCCAUCCCUAGCCUUCGGGACUCAGCAGGUCUGGGGCGGGGCCUGGGAAUUUGCAUUUCUAACGAGCUUCAGGUGAUGCUUGUUGCUGCUGGUCCAGGGACCAAACUUUGAGAGCCACUGGGGUAGAGGAAACAACAGGCCAGGUCCAGAGGUGGCAGACAGCAGCGCGCUCUCCUUUGCGGAACUAUAGAAAGUUCUGUCUGGCUGUCUGGUGGAGGAAGCAGGGAGAGGUAGGCUGGACGGUCUGACCACACUCCCUCCCCCCUCCCGCCACGAUUUCGGGCCAUCCCACGCGCUGCACAGAGAAAGGAAAAGGCGACAAGUCAGCACAAACAACAGAGGGGACUUGUGAGUGACAGAGGCCUCCAAACACAGGACACGGGCAGGCAGGGCAAGCUUCACGGGCGUGUGACCUGUGCGGUCACCUAGGGCCCCUGCGCUCGGCUUAGUGCUCCGUGGUCACCAUCUUGAAGCUCUUCAUGAUUUUUUCUUAGAACCUGUGUCCUGCAAGUGAAGCCUGACAAGGGAACAGGCGGUGGGUGGAGGAGAUGACAGAGCACGUGUGUGCUCUGUCCCGACUGCCCCGCACCCACACCACGUGCGCGGUGCCCACAGCCCGGGCUUCUGGUGCAUCCGUCAUGGUGGGCAUUCGGACUCCAAGUGGUUACAAGGUGAGUACACACCUAUGACUAAGGGGCACACCGGCUGGCCCGAGAGGCCACACCCUGGCCCAAACCAGAAUUGGCUUUAAAUGCAGAAGGAAGUUAGUGGCAUUCUAAGAAACGCCAAUGACCAAGAAGCCCUGUCCAUCCUUUCUCACUCGUGUUAUUACCCUGUAUGAUCCGACCACUUCCGCUGUAAAAGAUGCUACAGAAGGAAAAGGAAAGAGGGUAACCUAUCUGUCCCAUCUUUUCUGUCCUCCCUCGCUCCUGAGUGAGCUGAAGGCCGACAGAGCUGGCAGAAUGCGUGUGUGUCAAAAGGGAUAGAAACAGGUAACUUCGUUUUGUGCGGCAUUUUCCACUGCUCGGCUAAACUCUACACUCAACAUGGGGCUUCAACUCAAGACCCUAAGAUCAAGAGUCAUAUGCUCUACUGACUGAGCCAGCCAGACACCCCUGGGUACAUUUUGAAGGUGAGCUUUGAGGAUGCAACAAAACUCGACAGGUAGAGAUGUAGGGAGGAAGGAAGGUCUGAUAGGCCCAGACAGAAGUAUAGAAAGAGCUCAGGGCUUGGGGAAGAUGGCACUGGGCCAGGUGUGGAGGGGGUGUACCAGGGUCCCAAAGGCCUGGGUGAGGGGUGUGGACUCCAUUCUGGAGGCAUUGUGCCUUGGGGAAGGAAACACUCACUCAGGGCCAUGCUUUGGAAACUACCCUGCAGCAAAGAGGCCACUGUGGAUGCUGGAGCUGUAGCUCCCCAGGGUCCCAAAGGCCUGCAGAAAGGAAACGGACCCUCUGCUCCCCUCAUGCAGGGGCUGGCGCAGCCCACUGCCUCUACCCCAGCCUUCAUUCAGGUCACAAGCAGGUGGGUCAUUUACUCAAGAAUCAUCAGCCCAGGAUUCUUGCCACUCCUUGAAAUCAAGUCAGUGGACCUUACUGGCCCCAGAGGAGGGCGUUCCUCUUGCAGAAGUGGAGCAAGCAAGGUUUGUCCCAGGGCCAGUUGGUCUUACUUAGGUUGGGAGAAUCAAGAAAGACCCUCUAUGCCUAGGAAUGAAGAGGGGGUUUGGUCAGGGAGGGUAGAAGGGCUUUGCCACCUAGGACUGUCUAUCCCCAAAGGCUGGCUACCAUCUACUUUCUCAGUUCUGUGAGACAUUCCCAGCCCUGGAUGAGCCCAGCCUUGCUCCCCAUUCACCCCUGCCCCCUGAGGCUCUGCUCAGGGCCCCAUUCUGCAACACCCCCUCAACUACCACUGAGAAGGCAAAGGGGCAAAAGGGAAACUGAGGCACGAAGUAGGUGGCACACAUGGGAGAGUCCCACACCCUUGACCCCAGCCUCCGUAGGCAUACCCUGCCACUCCCUGGGGAACUUGUCAUGCCCUGUCUCUUGCCCCCAGAUUGGGUCCCUUUCACAUGUUCCUUUCCCCUAUUCCUGCAAAGCAGCAACCAGACUCUGUUCAUAUCUGUGAUCCCACAAUCCCAACCCAGAAGAGUUAGGAGUUCAAUGAAUGAAUAAAGGGAUGUGGGAUUUCCUGAGGGGUGGGUGGACAGGAUAGGCUUGGAAAACAGGAGAAGUAAGGAAGAAAGCUCCAGAAAGAUCCUAGCUGGUGCCACCUUCGCAUCCAUUCUCCAUGCUACAGAAUGCGUGAAUGCUAACAUUUCCCAAGCACUUACUAUGAGCCAGACCUUUUGCACUUAAUAUGCACAAUUUCAUUUGAUCCUCAAAGGAUCCCCACAAGGUAGGUACUAUCACCAGGCGCAUUUUACAGAGGCCAACAACUGAGGCAUAGAGAGGCUGAGUUAUCUGUCCAGGGUCCCAUGGUUACUAAGCAACAAACCUAGGAUUCAAAAGCAGAUUUGUUGAACCCGCAUGCCAUGUGCUUCACUGUCUCCCAUGCCCUGCAGAGUCUCGAAUGUGUGUGUCUAUCUCAGGUUAGCCUGGAUCUACCCUCCGCGGUACCCAGUCAUCCCCAUCCCAAGGCAGCUGUGGUUAUGUUUGAGGAAACCUCUUUAUAAAAUUGUCAAACACUAGUGAUUACUGUUAUUAAUGAUAAUAAUUACUCUUCUCUUAGUAUUUCCAUCACCUGCUUUCCAGCCCCCAAUGGAACCUUCUAUUUGUGUUCCUCUCAGCCACACAUUUAGGGUGGAGUGUGCCCGUGAACUCUGCCCCUUCCCAUCACGGCCUGUCCCGUCACCCCCCCCUCCAUCCUUCCUGGAGGCAACCCCACAGCAGCAACACCUGCCCAUUUCCCCCAGACCAUUUCCUGCUAACACCCCCUGUCCCUCCCAGCAGCAAGCGGCCUCUCCCCCGAGGGACUGGACUAAUUGUUUCCCAGACCAUGGAGGGGCAGGGUCUGGAAUUCUGAUUCCAGGCGCGCCCUUCUGCUCUGCAAAUUUUGGGAGGUGAUCCCAAGGCAAUGGUGAAAUCCAGACACAGGAAAGCCCAACAGGAACACUGAAUUCCAAAGAAGUUCUCCGAGAAUUCCAAGUUUUGGGAUUUGGAGACUCCCAGGUCCUAAGUUCUACGAAUAUCCAAGACCUCAGGAUUCUGGGACAGCAAUCUUGGGAAUUCUUAUUUCAGGACUUCUGAUUCCAGUUCUUUGUGGAAACAUCUAUUUUCCACUUCCUCAGGCUGUUUGUAUGACUUCAGCAUUACUGAUUUUGAAAGCCAGAAGUAAAUUUUAAAAAUCCUUCCCCAAAUGGAGCUGUACAAUUCCUAGAAAUUUUGUGGGUCCCAGAUAUGAAAUUAUUUAAAUGCUUGUAAAGCUCAUUAUUUUAACACUAUUUGCAGAGCAAUGGUGACUCGGUUGGAGCAUGAUCAAGAACGUGACCAAUGUUGGGUGCCUGGCUGGCUCAGUGUUAGAGCAUGUGACUCUUGAUCUUGGGGCUGUGAGUUUGAGCCCCGAGCUCCAUGUUGGGUUUAGAGAUUACUCAAAAAUAAAUAAAUAAAUAAAUAAAUAAAUAAAUA